rnacentral:rRNA from 1 species
CAGUCGCCGCGGUAAUACGAAGGGGGCUAGCGUUGCUCGGAAUCACUGGGCGUAAAGCGCACGUAGGCGGGUCGUUAAGUCAGGGGUGAAAUCCUGGAGCUCAACUCCAGAACUGCCCUUGAUACUGGCGAUCUUGAGUUCGAGAGAGGUUGGUGGAACUGCGAGUGUAGAGGUGAAAUUCGUAGAUAUUCGCAAGAACACCAGUGGCGAAGGCGGCCAACUGGCUCGAUACUGACGCUGAGGUGCGAAAGCGUGGGGAGCAAACAGGAUUAGAUACCCGCGUAGUCCCUGUCUCUUAUAC